rnacentral:lncRNA from 1 species
CAGCACAGACUGAUGAACGUGCAUGUUCUCUGCUGCUUGUGAUGUGGUCUCAGGAAGAAAAUGUAUCUUGGGUUUCUGCAAGGCUUUCAUCCAGGUGAAUUUGGGCAAGUCUUUCUUUGCACUAGCAUUAUCCCAUCUGGCUUCAAAUUCAGGAUGUGAACACUGAAACUUGAUACUUGGGCUAGAAACCUGAACUGGAACUUAAAUCCUGCAUGGUCCCUCCCAGGCAUUCCCUGCUAUUGAUGAAGGAAUGGCAGAAUGGAUACAACCAUAUGAGAGGCAGCAAGUUACUCCUCCUCUGAACACUUAAUUUUGCUCUGUGUUGUGCUCGCUAUCACAUUUAAAUAUAAUAAAUACAUAGUUAUUCCUGAGGCA